UACGGAGGAUGCGAGCGUUAUCCGGAUUUAUUGGGUUUAAAGGGUGCGUAGGCGGCUUUUUAAGUCAGCGGUGAAAUUUUGCAGCUUAACUGUAACAGUGCCGUUGAUACUGCCAGGCUAGGAUUUGGUUGCUGUGGGUGGAAUGUGUGGUGUAGCGGUGAAAUGCUUAGAUAUCACGAGGAACUCCGAUUGCGCAGGCAGCUUACUAAACUACUACUGACGCUCAGGCACGAAGGCGUGGGGAUCAAACAGGAUUAGAUAU
rnacentral:rRNA from 1 species